rnacentral:rRNA from 1 species
GACAGAGGUGCCAAGCGUUAGGCGGAAUCACUGGGCUUAAAGCGUGUGUAGGCGGAUUGGUAAGUACCUUGUGAAAUCCCACAGCUCAACUGUGGAACUGCUUGGUAUACUGCCUGUCUUGAGCUACUUAGGGGCAACCGGAACAAAUGGUGGAGCGGUGAAAUGCGUAGAUAUCGGGAAGAACACCCGUGGCGAAGGCGGCUCUCUGGGACGGUACUGACGCUGAGACGCGAAAGCGUGGGGAGCGAACAGG